AGCGCCUUGGGGUAGCGUGGAAAACCCGUCGGGCUCAUAACCCGAAGACCGAUGGUUCAAGUCCAUCAGGCGCUACCA
rnacentral:tRNA from 1 species